rnacentral:rRNA from 1 species
AUUGAACGCUGGCGGCAUGCUUUACACAUGCCAGUCGAACGGCAGCACGGGGGCAGCCCUGGUGGCGAGUGGCGAACGGGUGAGUAAUACAUCGGAACGUGCCCGGUCGUGGGGGAUAACGUAGCGAAAGUUACGCUAAUACCGCAUACGAUCUGAGGAUGAAAGCGGGGGACCUUCGGGCCUCGCGCGAUCGGAGCGGCCGAUGUCAGAUUAGGUAGUUGGUGGGGUAAAGGCCUACCAAGCCGACGAUCUGUAGCUGGUCUGAGAGGACGACCAGCCACACUGGGACUGAGACACGGCCCAGACUCCUACGGGAGGCAGCAGUGGGGAAUUUUGGACAAUGGGCGCAAGCCUGAUCCAGCCAUUCCGCGUGCAGGACGAAGGCCUUCGGGUUGUAAACUGCUUUUGUACGGAACGAAAAGGCUCUGGCUAAUACCUGGGGCUCAUGACGGUACCGUAAGAAUAAGCACCGGCUAACUACGUG